UGGGUUUCCUAGUUCAGCUACUUCGUCUCCUGCCUUGUCUCUCAGCAGUGCCCCCACCAAAUCUUUGCUGCAGACUCCACCACCUCCACCACCACCACCACCACCACCUCCUCCUCCUCCAUCCUCUCUGUCAGGACAGCAGACCGAGCCACAGAACAAAGAACCGGAGAAAAAGCAAACUAAGCCAAACAAGGUGAAAAAAAUCAAGGAGGAGGAAUCAGAGGCCAUCAAACCCGAAAAGCAUCCCAAAAAAGAGGAAAAAAUCUCAUCUGCUCUUUCAGUAUUGGGUAAAGUAGUAGGGGAAACACACAUGGACCCUACUCAAUUGCAGGCCUUGCAGAAUGCCAUUGCU
rnacentral:lncRNA from 1 species